GCGGUGAUGAGAAAACUCAUCUCAGCCUCGACGAUUUGUCUUCUCCCCCUCUCGUUUCCUCUCCUCCUCACGACCACUUAUCUCUGACAUCGGAUCAUUGUCCUCAUUUACCAUCUCUGAACAAGUUAAGACAGCUCAGAGGCUCUCUUUCAAACCCUUAAGCUAGAAGAGGUAAUUAAAAUGGAUUUUCAACAAAAAAACAAAGUCAAAAAGAAAAGAAAAAGAGGAUCAGCAACAUCAUGUUUCUUUCCCUCUGCUCUACAGAUCUGUCCAGUCAGAACAAGUUCAGCAGGUCUGUCGAACAAGAAUGUACGACAUGCAGUGUUACCAUAACUCACCCUGCACAGGAAUGGGAAAUUAAUAAAAAAACAACGGUAUUCAUUGGAAAACUACACGCAACAAAGCAAUAGAUAGUUUCUUAAUUCUGUGUUACAUCACUGCACGAACAUGCUCAAUGUCUUAGGAAAAUCACGACUUAAAAUCAUACCUUUCUAAUAUCAAAAGUCUUUAAAAAAACAGAAUUAAAUCCUACAUUAGUUGUCUUUUCUUCCUAACCCAACCGGAAUCAUUGAACUCCUUUUGUCCUGCUUGUCUUCUCAUCUGGAUAAUGGCCACAACAAGUCUUUAGUUGUCGACCAGGCUGUGACCUUAUUGGUAAGCAGCCUGAAUUACUGAAUCCAGACAACUUAAAAAGGCAACAUAAGCGUGUCAAACUACUCAAUGCUCUAAGUCCCUUUGUGAUCACAGAUCAUACAAUACUUUAACAAGAUACUCACUUAAAUGUUUUAUUAUUGUUCAUGUGUGUGAUCUUUGAGAAAGUGUGCGUGAAUAUUUAAGACACUAACAUUUAAAAGGUGAACAAAGGUUUUACGUGUUAUCUGUGUCAAAGUGCCAUUCAAUACACUGAAAUUAUCCCUCUAAAGAAUUAUAUAACAAAUGUACAAAAGUAUGUUUAUUGUGGCCCACAGGGCACAUUCGUAAAUGAUGUUAAGUCAUUCGUAAGCACUGAACAACACUUUUUUAGUUGUUGAGAGUUAAAAUAAAACUAUAUGUUGUACUCAAAGUACAAGCAGUAGAAGAUUUCACACUGACAUGGACAAAUAAAAAAAUGUGUAUUUAAAGAAAGUGUUUUAGUUCUACUCGGCUUUGAGCUGGCUUUGACUUGCAAAGCUUCAGGACAGACAUUACAUCUAUCAAAUUACUUAAUAUUGAUUGUGUGUGCAACAUAUUCCCUGAGAUAAACAAAUCAUUUCA